GGCGGCUGUACAAUGGGAUACUUUGUUGAAUUCACCGAAAAUGUCAUCUCUACCUGAGGAACUAUGGAGCAGAAUUCUGGAAAUCGGAAUUGAAAAAAGCAAUUUCAGCCACAAAGACCUUUGCUGCAUCUCCAUCUCAUGCCGCCUCCUUCAUCGCCUCUCCUCCGAUGACUCUCUCUGGAACUUCCUUUUCUCCGAUGAUGACUUCCCUCCUUCUACAUCUCAUUCAUCAAAAUACCUUUAUCAAUUAAGGUUUGAGAGAGAGAAGAGAGAGAAGGAUUAUUAGGAUUAUCAUAUCGCGAGGAUGAAGACUUUGCAGAAGGAUAUAGAGAGUAAGAGAGAAAGUAUUACAGUCCAUGAAACAGGGGAAGUAUUGUCUUCAGUCUCAAGAAAAAGAGAGACAACAAAAAUUGCAUGAGGGAGAUGAAGAAGCUCGAAAGCAAAAGAG